rnacentral:rRNA from 1 species
UCCAAAUACAUGACAUACUCAUCGCACAGGCCCACAAGCCUUAUAAUAGACCCAGUACAACUGAUAACUGAACCAAGUUACUCCAGGGAUAACAGCGCCAUCUUCUUCAAGAGUCCAUAUCAAAAAGAAGGUUUACGACCUCGAUGUUGGAUCAGGACAUCCUAAUGGUGCAGCCGCUAUUAAGGGUUCGUUUGUUCAACGAUUAACAGUCCUACGUGA